rnacentral:lncRNA from 1 species
UUUUUCUAAAAAAAUUCGCUUUGCCUUCUCUCUAACUUUCUCUUCAUCUUCUUCACUACUUCAUCGUCUUCUUCUGCACUGCAUCUGCUUAGGUAAGUAAACCUAGCAGAGGUUGUUAUGGCAAGGAGGAGAGGUCGCCCAAGAAAAGAAUUAGUACCAAUUUAUGCGAGUGAUGUAGUUUUCCAGAAAGCUGUUACCACUGUACCGAUGGUAGGUACUACUGUUCCAUUAAAUCCUGCUGCGAUUACUGUUCCAUUACCUCAAGUAUCAACAGAUCCUAUGGUAGGUACUACUGUUCCAUUAAAUUCUGCUGCGAUUACUGUUCCAUUACCUCAAGUAUCAACAGAUCCGCAACUGGUAGGUACAACUGUUCCAUGAAAUCCUG